CACGUAGGGGGCAAGCGUUGUCCGGAUUUAUUGGGCGUAAAGAGCUCGUAGGCGGCUUAGUAAGUCGGGUGUGAAACCUCCAGGCUCAACCUGGAGACGCCACCCGAUACUGCUGUGGCUAGAGUCCGGUAGGGGAGCGUGGAAUUCCUGGUGUAGCGGUGAAAUGCGCAGAUAUCAGGAGGAACACCGGUGGCGAAGGCGGGUCUCUGGGCCGUAACUGACGCUGAGGAGCGAAAGCGUGGGGAGCGAACAGG
rnacentral:rRNA from 1 species